ACGAGUGAGUAAUGCUUAUCUUACCUACCGUUUAGUGGGGGAUAAAAUACCGCAUAUUCUGGCUUUGGCCAGGAAAGGAAGUCGUAAGGCUUUCGCUAAAUGACGGGGAUAAGUCGCAUCAGCCGAUGAAAGUAGGGUAAUGGCCUACUGAGGCAAUGACGCGUAGCCGGGCUGAGAGGCUGAACGGCCACAAGGGAACUGAAACACGGCUCCUACUCCUACGGGAGGCAGCAAUGGGGAAUCGUCGGCAAUGGGGGAAACCCUGACCGCGCAAUGCUACGUGAAGGAAGAAGGUCCACGGAUUGUAAACUUCUUUACUAAAGGGUACUGACGCAAGGAUUGCCCUUUGGCAAAAAGUCACGACUAACUACGUGCCAGCAGUCGCGGUAAGACGUAGGUGGCGAACGUUAUCCGGAAUUAUUGGGCGUAAAGGGUGCGUAGGUGGCCUGACAAGUUAUCAGUGGCAAAUCGAGGCUCAACCUCGUGGAAACUGGUAAUACUGUCCGGCUUGAGUACAGGAGAGGUUAACGGAACUCUAUGUGGAGCGGUAAAAUGCACAGAUAUAUAGAAGAACAUCAAUAAGGCGAAAGCAGUUAACUAUUCUGUUACUGACGCUGAGGCACGAAAGCGUGGGGAGCAAAACGGAUUAGAUACCCGUGUAGUCCACGCCCUAAACGAUGAGUGCUAGAUAUUGGGAACUUGAUUCUCAGUGUCGCUAGGUAACCCGGUAAGCACUCCGCCUGGGGAGUACGCUCGCAAGAGUGAAACUUAAAGGAAUUGACGGGGACUCGCACAAGCAGUGGAGCAUGUGGUUUAAUCCGAUACAACGCGUAGAACCUUACCAAGGCUUGACAUGUUCGGCAAAACUGUGGAAACACAGCGGAGGUUAUCCGGACACAGGUGCUGCAUGGCCGUCGUCAGUUCGUGCCGUGAGGUGUAUGGUUAAGUCCUAUAACGAACGCAACCCUUGGGCUUAGUUGCCAGCAUUAAGUUGGGGACUCUAAGCCGACUGCCUGAGUAAUCAGGAGGAAGGAAAGGAUGACGUCUGGUCGUC
rnacentral:rRNA from 1 species